UUUUCUCCUUCUAUCGCUCUCUUCACUUUACAAAGGAAACCCUUUCUGAAUAAUUUGCCAUGUCUCUGAAAAUGUUUCAAAUUUUGGUGUCUGUUCUGCUGUUUACAGCUUUCCACCAAAUUUCUGAACUUACGUUUUUCCAUGGAGUUGGUAACAUUUCUGAAGAUGGCAUUCCUUGAAAAAUCCCUACCCUAAGACUUCUACCUUCAAUUUAUGAUUAUAGUAACUUGGAAUAUGAAGAAACUGAAGUAGGAAGGAACUACUGGGACUGUGAUUGCUUGCUAACUUCUGUUUCAAGUGUCCUUGGAGCACCCUUUCUGACAGAAGAAUCAGCAAAUCAAUUCAUACGGCUCAAACGACACAUCCUAUAUUCUCCGAGCUACUGGGACUCAAGCAGCAGCCAGAACACGUGGGGAUACAGACAUGUGGCUGAACAGGUUAGUGAAUCGUGGGCAGCCUUGAAAGAAACAGCACAAUACUACAUGGACUUGGACCCUUUUGCCUUCGAUCCCUCGACAGCCGUGUUCGAUGGGGUUUCUGAGCAGAGCAUUUCAUAGACUCGGAGCCUGUGUGUACCAAAAAACAAUUUAUUCCAUCUUUUUUAGCAACAAGAUCAGAUCCUACAUGGAGCUACUACAGCAGUCUGGGACUCACCUCCAGCAACAAGCUAUUAAAUCCUACACAUCUUGUAUCUGGCCAUGUUAGGAUAUGGCAUGUUAUGGAUUUGCCAUUAUGUAUUGAUAAGAUGACUUUAUCUCAUCCCACUUGGGUCUAAACCCAAAAUUAAUACAGUAAUUCUCUGCAUAAAUACUGCAUAUUUUAUAUUCAUAUGCAGAACUGAGACAUUGGUCAUGACAAAUUGAAUAAAAAGUUGAAGAAAACCAACUGUGAAAUUCUAGCAGGUUGGGUUUAAAAAUGCCUAGUUUUCUCAGGUAAAACAUUCUUUUGACUAAACAAUUGAAGAUGUAUAUUUCUGCUUCUGUGACUGAAAACCACAUUUUUAUUUCUCAGUAUUUUCCUUUAGCUACAUUUUUGAGAGGCAAAUAAGAAAUGAAAAUCAGUCACUUUGGAUGAGUGAGAGAAGUAGAGCACAUUUGCUUCAGGUGUACUUCUGUAGUUCAAUGCAUUUUCAUUUAUUCAAGUACUAAUAGUGUUGCAGUACACAUCCAUUCAUGUCAGCGCUUCUCUUUCCUCAUUUAAUCUUCUGUACUUGGUCUUGAGUGCCAAAACCCACUGAACUCACAGCUACUACUGUGAGAUGUUUUUUCUUACUCCACAGAGAUUGGAAAUGGUGGAAACAUUCACGGCUCCUUUUCUAAAAAGAAAAUGAUGGUGACAAAUGUUCUUUAUGCCAUGUUCUUGAGCUUGGAAGUUUUCUGUUCAUUAAAACAGUUCAUUAAUGUACUUUAUUUCAAAACAUCUUUGAAGAGAGGAUUAGGCUUCUAUGUUUCUUUUGUAUGUUAUUAAUAUAAUGUUAAUAAUUAAAAGCUCUUUCAAACUUGGCCAAAUUUUUUGCAUGAAUAAAGAUGACCUGUUGAAGAAAACAAAAUGUAUGGUAACCUAAUGGCAAGGUAGGUGAAGGAAGGCAAUUUUUACUUGCUUUUUUUCCCCAAUGAGCAGAUUCUGCAUGUUGUAAUUUCAGGAUUAUUUGUAAAUAUGGACUGUACAUUAACUGGAACAUAUUUGAAGAUAAUGUUGGAUCUUCUAGAAAAAAAUCCAUAUUCUGGCUUUUUGGCAAUCUCUACCAUGAUCCUAGGUAUGAAACUAUCCUUAGGCCGUUAUUAACUUCCCUGCACAGGACAAUGGGCCUGAAAUUGCCAUUAUUCAUUAGCUGAAGCUGAAAAUUCAUUAAACACUUGAAAGAGAUAAA